GAAAGGCCAAUCAAACUCGGAAAUAGCUGGUUCUCCGCGAAAACUAUUUAGGUAGUGCGUCGACCGAAUACCCUCGGGGGUAGAGCACUGGAUGGGCUAUGGGGACUCACCGUCUUACUGAUCCUAACCAAACUCCGAAUACCGAGGAGUACUAGUCGGCAGACACACGGCGGGUGCUAACGUCCGUCGUGAAGAGGGCAACAACCCUGACCUCCAGCUAAGGUCCCCAAGUCAUGGCUAAGUGGGAAAGGAUGUGAGGAUCCCAAAACAACCAGGAUGUUGGCUUAGAAGCAGCCAUCAUUUAAAGAAAGCGUAACAGCUCACUGGUCUAAAUAAGGGUCUUUGCGCCGAAAAUGUAACGGGGCUAAAGCCAUGCACCGAAGCUGAGGAUACGUCGCAAGACGUGUGGUAGCGGAGCGUUCCGUAAGCCUGUGAAGGGGUACCUGUGAGGGGCCCUGGAGGUAUCGGAAGUGCGAAUGUUGACAUGAGUAACGAUAAAGGGAGUGAGAGACUCCCUCGCCGAAAGACCAAGGGUUCCUGCUUAAAGUUAAUCUGAGCAGGGUUAGCCGGCCCCUAAGAUGAGGCAGAAAUGCGUAGUCGAUGGGAACCACGUUAAUAUUCGUGGGCCUGGUGGUAGUGACGGAUCGCACAAAUCGUACAUUCUUAUUGGAUUGAAUGUGCGGUGGAGCGGUUCCAGGAAAUAGCUCCACCCUAUAGACCGUACCCGAAACCGACACAGGUGGUCAGGUAGAGUAUACCAAGGCGCUUGAGAGAACUAUGCUGAAGGAACUCGGCAAAUUGCACGCGUAACUUCGGAAGAAGCGUGACCCUUAUGUACGCAAGUAUGUGAGGGUGGCACAGACCAGGGGGUAGCGACUGUUUAUCAAAAACACAGGGCUCUGCGAAGUCGCAAGACGACGUAUAGGGUCUGACGCCUGCCCGGUGCUGGAAGGUUAAGAGGAGAGGUGCAAGCUUUGAAUCGAAGCCCCAGUAAACGGCGGCCGUAACUAUAACGGUCCUAAGGUAGCGAAAUUCCUUGUCGGGUAAGUUCCGACCUGCACGAAUGGCGUAACGACUUCCCCGCUGUCUCCAGCAUAGACUCAGUGAAAUUGAAUUCCCCGUGAAGAUGCGGGGUUCCUGCGGUCAGACGGAAAGACCCCGUGCACCUUUACUAUAGCUUUACACUGGCAUUCGUGUCGGCAUGUGUAGGAUAGGUGGUAGGCUUUGAAGCAGGGACGCCAGUUUCUGUGGAGCCAUCCUUGAAAUACCACCCUUAUCGUCAUGGAUGUCUAACCGCGGUCCGUUAUCCGGAUCCGGGACAGUGUAUGGUGGGUAGUUUGACUGGGGCGGUCGCCUCCGAAAGAGUAACGGAGGCGCGCGAUGGUGGGCUCAGACCGGUCGGAAAUCGGUCGUCGAGUGCAAUGGCAUAAGCCCGCCUGACUGCGAGACUGACAAGUCGAGCAGAGACGAAAGUCGGUCAUAGUGAUCCGGUGGUCCCGCGUGGAAGGGCCAUCGCUCAACGGAUAAAAGGUACGCCGGGGAUAACAGGCUGAUGACCCCCAAGAGUCCAUAUCGACGGGGUUGUUUGGCACCUCGAUGUCGGCUCAUCGCAUCCUGGGGCUGGAGCAGGUCCCAAGGGUUUGGCUGUUCGCCAAUUAAAGCGGUACGUGAGCUGGGUUCAGAACGUCGUGAGACAGUUCGGUCCCUAUCUGCCGUGGGUGUAGGAAUAUUGACAGGAUCUGUCCCUAGUACGAGAGGACCGGGAUGGACAUAUCUCUGGUGGACCUGUUGUCGUGCCAACGGCAUAGCAGGGUAGCUAUAUAUGGAAUGGAUAACCGCUGAAGGCAUCUAAGCGGGAAACCAACCUGAAAACGAGUGUUCCCUAUCAGAGCCGUGGAAGACUACCACGUUGAUAGGCCGGGUGUGGAAGUGCAGUAAUGCAUGAAGCUUACCGGUACUAAUAGCUCGAUUGGCUUGAUC
rnacentral:rRNA from 1 species